AAUCCCAGCACUUUGGGAGGCUGAGGCAGAGGCAGGCAUUAGCCUUGAGGCCAGGAGUUCGAGACCAGCCUGGUCAACAUGUGAAACCCCAUCUCUACUAAAAAUACAAAAAUUAGCUGGGUGU